rnacentral:snRNA from 1 species
GAACUGGCGGUGACGCCUGUUAGCCCACUGGUUGUCAGAGUUGAUUCUGCAGUUUCACAAACCACUUAGGUGCCCGGCCCCAUCCUAUGUGUGUGUCCCUCGAGAAGCUUCCUGUUGAUUGAAGAGGACAAUCCUCCUGAUAGAGACCAUUCUUUGCUCAAGGCUAUAUGAGGAGCCAUUCUUCCUCGUAAGAGCCUCCAAACAAGCUCUCAAGGUCCGUUUGUAGGACACGGGGAAGUAAGUUUCCAGGACUCUAGACACAGUCCCGUGAGGCUUUGCAAGCAACACCCUUACUG